AUUUGUUCACGCAGUCGCUGAUUUUCAUCCAUUAUAAGUUUCAUUUGAGUUUCAACAUCCAAGUGGUUUGUUGAUACAAUAUUUGAUAUAUUUGGCAUUGAGACUUGGUUAGGUAAUAAUAGUCCACAAUUGAGAACUUCCAGAAGUGAUGGUCGCUUCGUGGGGUCUUUGGCUGUCAUCCAUAAAAUUAAACUUGACUCACAAAUAUGUUGCUCAACGAACUCUUCAGGAAGAUUUCCUCGACGAAGGUCUUGAAGUUUUGUUGCACGUUCCAUAUUUGUUUGAAACGGGUGCAACAGCUCAAACAAAACCAUUCCUAAUGAGAAUGUAUCGAUUUUUUUUGUAAAUUUAUUAUGCUGAGAAGACAUAGCAUCUAGCAAUUCCGGAGCCGCGUAAGUUGCAGUGCCUAUAUGCUGAGUCUCAUCUUGCAGAUUAGGCAAGUGGUUUCGUUCAAGAAAAGAAAGUGCGGUUUCUGUGUUUUUUUUAUUUUCAACAACGAGUCCAAAAUCACCAAUCUUAGGAGUAAUGUAUUCUUUCAAAUCGUUUUUAUCAUUAUAACUAAUUAAAGGAACAGACCCACGGUCCUCCGGUAAAGAUUUAGCAAGAAAUAUAUUGCUGGGUUUGAUAUCUCGAUGGAUCAAGUUCACACCUUCAUGUACGUACAUAACGCCAUUAAUUAUCAUUCGGAAUAAAUCCGUAUGCAGUUGUAUUUGUUCCUUACAUAGUGGGAAUGAAAGAAAAUGGUUUCUUCUUAUUAGAUAGGACUCUAGAUCAUCAAAGCAAAGCUGCAUUUGAAUAUAAAUAAUAAAAGAAUGAGUGGGUCCAGUUUUAGAUAUGUGCAUGCUACUAGAAUAGUCGUCAUCCAAGAUGGUGGUAUUAUUAAAAGUAGAAACAUUAGAGUCAUGAAGAUUACGAGGGCUUUCUAAAUUCUCAAAGUUAGAAGAUUCAGUAGUGCUUGAGUAGCUAGAUUUUCUGGAAGUUGAAAUGAUCGACUCGGUGCCAGGAUCUUCUGCAAAUAGUAUAUCGUCUGUAAGGGCAGAAGAUUCUGUUGGUUCAAAAAUUAUGGAGUCCAUUCCGUUGACAUCACAAUAGCUUGAGGUUCCAAGUACUCUACUAGAAUUUUUAG